UUUUUAUGAGAGUUUGAUCCUGGCUCAGGACGAACGCUGGCGGCGUGCCUAAUACAUGCAAGUCGAACGCUUUUUUUUCCACCGGAGCUUGCU
rnacentral:rRNA from 1 species